UACAGAGGGUGCGAGCGUUAAUCGGAAUGACUGGGCGUAAAGGGUGCGUAGGUGGUUUGAUAAGUUGGUUGUGAAAGUCCUGGGCUCAACCUGGGGAUUGCGAACAAUACUGUCGAGCUAGAGUACUGUAGAGGGGAGUGGAAUUUCCAGUGUAGCGGUGAAAUGCGUAGAUAUUGGAAGGAACACCAAUGGCGAAGGCAACUCCCUGGAUAGCUACUGACACUGAGGCACGAAAGCAUGGGGAGCAAACAGGAUUAGAUACCCUGGUAGUCCAUGCUGUAAACGAUGAGGACUGACUGUUGGGAACCGAGAGGUUUUUGGUAGUGAAGCAAACGCGUUAAGUUCUCCGCCUGGGGAGUACGGCCGCAAGGUUA
rnacentral:rRNA from 1 species